GCCUCCUAAUUCCACUCGGUUUGUUCCGCCCCUGUUCAAAGAACUUUUAUGAAACAAUGACACGUUGGGGACGGGUACCAGCGGAAAGAUUCAGAUAUGGGCCGGGUUGGGCUGAGGUCUCGUUUUACGCUUAAGACAAGAGUCGAGAUGUCACGAUAAACAAACUUGUCAUCAUCAUCGUUAAAAAGGAUUGCGGUGUUCAGUCUUUCAAGUUCAUCCGCUAAUCUCCCGCGCCAUCUGGGAUGAGUAAACUAGGGGAAAUCCUCCCACAAAUUGCGAUAUCACCAACAACGGCUAUACCGGCUUGAUAUUUUCACGGCCCAAAAGAAAAUAGGCGAGCCGUCUGUCAUUCCGCUAGACGUCCUGCCUCUGCUAAAACCAUCUCCGUCGUCUCGUCUUUGACCAAUAAAAUGGAAUGCCACAGACAUUCUUUUUCGGAGAGGUCAGUUGGCUGGGGACUAGGUUUAAGGUAGGAUCAGUUAUCUUUCUUCUUGACAAGUCCCACAAGCACCAAUCACUUGGUGGAGCAGAACGUGUUAGAAUGGAACCCAACUAUGAUCUGGCCUUCCUAAGCUGGCAUCCAACACCGAGCGCCCUCAGUGAACCCAGAGUCCGACGUGUUUCUGCGAAGACGCCGCCAACCCAAGUUGGCGCGGCAGCUGAGAACAGCGGGAGAUUGCACAUGGUGCUGGGAAACAUGCCCAGACAAUUGUCGCAAAGGUGAAGGCCUGCUCCUCGUCGGAAAAGCAGCUUUGAAGCCGUAACCCCGCUUUGAGGCCGUGCCCGCACUUGCUGACCUCAACGUCUGGAGCGGUGGAGCCCAUGUGGCGCGCAGCUCUUCUUCAUUGAAACAUUCAAGGUGCCGCAGCCGGGCCGAGCGGGAGGAGACUAAGAACGCGUGACGGACCGCCUGUGAAGACACAACGAGACCAAAUGAACAAACUGCAUCAUUGCAACGUGGAGACACCCGAGAGUCACGAUUCGCUCUAACGGCAUUCCAACAAAACCGAACCCUGGGUAGCACGUUAGCAUGAGAUACUAAUUUUUAUCAUCCCAUGCUAACGUGUUAGCUAGCGCCUAAUCGCUCCCAGAUACAUGCUCCACGUCGACCGCAGGCACGAAACAAUGGCUCCGAAACGAGCCCGCAGACAUUAUCCGGAAGGAGAGUCGCCCUAGAUUUCGUCUCCUGGUCAGACUUUUUGCGGGUGACACAUUGCGGGCUGCGCAGGAAACUCUGGAAAGAGUGAACAACAUGCGCUGAGUCGGCCAGCCUGCGGUGCCUCAAACCCAAGUCGGACAGACGGCGGAAUGACUCACAGACGCGUGACGUCGUCCCAUUUCUGUGUAUCGCUCACGUGCCGGAACGUUUCUCUGGGAAUCCGUCCGUCAAUCCAUUUUUUUUGAGCAAUGAGUCAAAAGAAAACAAGAUUUUUCCUUUCUCAUGGCUUCUGGCUUCAAAUUUUGCAAAGCGGCCUUCAGCAGCCAGUCGAUAAGUGGCAGCCGCUGACUUGGCGACAACGCGUCAAGUCGGGCGACGUCGCUUGUGUGUGUUUUGAUUAGCACGUGUGAAAGGAGGCCCGCUCGCAAACGGACCCUGUUUAACUUCAACGCGACAACUGCUCAACUUCAACAAAUGUCAAAGGCAGAAAAUAAGGCACAUAGCUUGUAAAAAGUUAGCCGCCUUUAUACGACAACCGCGGCUACGUCUGACGGCGUCAUUUUUGGCGGUUAGGGCCGACACUUCAAACGGUGGCUCGUCGCUCUUUGUCUCUGCUUUAAUUGGCUUGAAAUCAUUUUAAAAAAAAAAAUUACUGUGAGUUAUAAACAGUGAUAAAUGUAUUUUUAGCACUGGAGGCGUUUGAUUUCUGAUCUUUGGCACGCUCAAUCAAAAAAAAAAAAAAAAUGCAUAUCUUGACGAAA